CAGUCGCCGCGGUAAUACGUAGGGUGCGAGCGUUAAUCGGAAUUACUGGGCGUAAAGGGCUCGCAGGCGGUUUCUUAAGUCUGAUGUGAAAGCCCCCGGCUCAACCGGGGAGGGUCAUUGGAAACUGGGAAACUUGAGUGCAGAAGAGGAGAGUGGAAUUCCACGUGUAGCGGUGAAAUGCGUAGAGAUGUGGAGGAACACCAGUGGCGAAGGCGACUCUCUGGUCUGUAACUGACGCUGAGGAGCGAAAGCGUGGGGAGCGAACAGGAUUAGAUACCCCUGUAGUCCCUGUCUCUUAUAA
rnacentral:rRNA from 1 species